UGCUAAAUAAAAACCCCUAACAACAACAACCCAACCAAACUCACCGAACUGAAGAAAAGAAACCACCGAAAUUUUGGAUAGGAAAAAAAAGAUCAAAUAUUUAUCUUCAUUCGCGCACGUCUCUCUCUCUCUCUCUCUCUCUUCUAUUCGUUUCUUUGACCUCCCUUUACGCUUUCUCUUCUUUUAAACCCCUAUAACAAUCUUUUAUCAGUUUCACGCUCAGUUCUAAGGCAAAAAAAGGAAAAUUUUCUCAUCUGAAUUUUGUUCAUUAUCUCAAUCACGGGGCUUAGAUCUAAAUUUAUAACUGAUCAGCAACAAUGUCUUUCGCUCGGAAUUACCAUUCACAAGGUGGCACUCUCCAUGAUGAUCGUUGGUCCUCUUUCAAUAGAAACAACUACAAUAACAGGAACCGAAGUAUGAACACAAAUAGGACCAACAGUUACAACCAUAACUGGAAUUAUAACCAUUUCCAUGACUUCCCUGGAAAUUUCAGGGACCACAUUAACAACGCUUACAAUUAUGUUAAUAUUCCUAGUGGUGCUCCAUCCUUGAAAAGGAGAAAAUUUAGUGCUGGCACUUGGGGAGACGUUGGGAGACAUUUUGUGAAACACAUCAGCUAUGAAACCACUGUUCCUUCAACCUGCAACAAUUCUGUCCCUCCUGCAAGAUCAAAUGCUGAGACAUCCACGUCUACCAGCUGCAAACGUGACCGCACAAAAUUGGAAGAUGAUGAACCGGUAUUUAUGUCGAGGGAUGAGAUUGAGAGACACUCCCCAUCAAGAAAAGAUGGUAUUGAUGCACUACGAGAAACCCAUUUGCGGUAUUCUUACUGUGCAUUCCUUCAGAAUCUUGGACUGCGGCUUGAGUUGCCUCAAACCACUGUUGGUACUGCCAUGGUUUUGUGCCAUCGUUUCUUUGUUCGAAGAUCACAUGCUUGCCAUGAUAGAUUUAUUAUCACAGUUAUGCUCAUCACAAAUGGUCUGCCACUGUUGCAGUUAAUUGCUACUGCUGCUAUUUUUCUUGCUUCAAAGUCUGAGGAGUCGCCACGCCCUUUGAACAAUGUACUGAGAGCAUCUUGUGAGAUUUUUCACAAGCAAGAUAUGACUUUUUUGUCAUGUCUUCUCCCUGUUGAUUGGUUUGAGCAGUAUCGGGAGCGAGUGAUUGAAGCUGAGCAAAUGAUACUGACAACUCUAAAUUUUGAACUUGAUGUGCAGCAUCCAUAUGCUCCUCUUACAUCUGUCCUUAACAAAUUAGGGUUUUCACAAACUGUUUUGGUGAACUUGGCCUUGAACUUGGUCAGUGAAGGGGUCUACGCAAGAUUGCGUGCUUAUUAUCUGGCGGAUUGAUAUGCUGUGCAUGGAAAGUUUUUUUGUUUUAACCUCUGAAGUUGAACUGCCGAUAUAAUGUGGAUCACAUAAACAUGACUAUAUCCCCCAUCAACCUGGUUAUCUGCUAUAAAGAUAGCCUCAGAAAUUCCGUAAUUGCUUUUGCUGUUUAACUUAAUUCCAAUUUUUCAUAUCUUAUUUGGACAAAUUCUCUAGGUCCUUCAAUACAAACUUCUAGUUUGAGAAACCUGGUUGAUUUUCCCAUUGUCCUCCCUUCAGACAUUGGGAGGAAUUCUGCUGAUUGGGCUUGAACCAGAGACUGUCUAUGGUUGUCUUCCCCUGCAUUAAAUGAUUUUUGUAACUUGCUUCCUCAAAUAAUUGGUGCUAGUUGUUUUUCAUGUAAAAUGUUUUUAGUUGCAUAGUUUAUCGUGAAACCAUGUUGGAUUUUUACGUAAUCCAUUUUUGCAUUUCUUGAGCUUUUCAAAAAUUAGUUUUUUCUUUCUAGCUCAAAUUCAUUAAUGAACAAUACUUUUUUAUCAAAAAAGAUUUCAGACAUUUGUCUAAAGGUAUUUCCAUUUGAUACAUGAGUUUCAAUUGGUUUCUGUUGCAUAGUAUAAUCUAGUUUGAGUUCAGUGUAUGUUCUGAAAUGGUAUUUGUGUUAACAGUUUAGCGGGAACAUGUCAUUUAUGAUGGUAUAAUUUAAAAGUGUCAUAAUCUUGUCAGCAAAAACCAUGUAGGGAUGGGGGAUAGAACAAACAACUCCACCUAUUUACGAAAUAGCCUAUUCAUGAAGGGUUCUAACUUCUAAUAGUUGUUUACAGCAUAUAUUUUAUCCAGUACUUGUAGGUGCUAAAACUUGAAUCGAUUAUGUCACAUGGUGAAGACCUUCCAAUUGGGAGACCACUAUUAACAGUAUUACUCGAUCCCUAAAAUGGACUUCCUAAUACUGCUGGAAGUUUUGAUAGAGAUGGUCUAUUGUUAACUUAAACCUUUUUUCAGCCUUAAUUUAUGUAUACAUAUAACAUUAUAUUAUGCUAUAUGCAUGAAAUAUGUUCUCCAUAUCUCUUAUCAUUUUGUAUCUUGACUUCUCUUGCUGUCACUUCUUUUUCUCUUCAACAGCAAUCUAGUAUAUAAGUUGUUUUUUUUAAUUGGAGGAUGCUUAUUAUCUUUCUUUUCAGUAAAGAGGAUACUUACCUUCUGUGUUAUAUAUAUAUAUAUAUAAAGAGGACAUUAUUAUACUUCCUGUUCAAUAUUUUCACCUUUGAAAGUACAUGCAUUUCAUAUUAAAUGAAAAUCAAGAGAUUAUAUUCUUGAAGAAAAAAGCAUUCUCUAGUGAAAGUAUAGUUUUUAAAGGUGUGCUAAGGCCCAAUGUGCACAGGUUGCUAGUGCCUCUGCCAAGCUAAGGCAGCCAGGCAGGUGCCUGAACAGGAGUGCACCCUUUGGCUGGCACAAUACGUAGAAAAAACUUAUCAUGCAAUUCUUUUAUUGAGAUACUGAAAGGGGGGAAAACAAAAGAAAAAAAAUUAUAGGUAACAACCUCCACUAAUAAGGACAUAAUCAUAUUUUGCAAGGUAAAAGUUACCUCCAAUUUUUUCCCUUCCUUUUUCCCGUAACUAAUUUGAUUUGAUUUUUUUUUUUGCUACCUUUGCUUUUCUGAUAUUCUAACAUGAUCACAUGUUCAUAUGUUAUCCACAGAAAUGUGUAGUUUUAUCCUCCCCACACAUCUCCCUCAUUUACUUGUCUGAUGAGUUUGUAGGAUGUGAUCAUUUCUGAGAGUUCAUUUCUUGGUUUAGGAUUACAAAUAUUACACCUCUAUAGAUGACUCAUUGUAUUAAACUUUGAAUGUCUGUCAUUCUCUCUUCUUUGGUCCAGUAUAGAAUUAAUUGAAUUAGGCAUAAUGCAUUAAGGUGCCAAAGGAAAGAAUAUGGCUUCUCACUGUUCUAGAAAUUGUUUUACAUUGUUGUUUUUAUAUGUAAAUGCAUUCUCUGUAGCUUGUAAAUUCCUGAAAUGCUUUUGACUAAUCUCAACCAAAAGCUGGCAAUGUGAACGGAUGAGGAAAGGUUCUUCUCCUUGAUCCCUCUUUUGUGAAGAAAGAGGUCGCAAAAUGAAAAAGAAAGCAAUUUUUCUUUCAAAUACAGGCUAGUUGUCAUGGAGUCAUGUUAGGUGUCAGUUUGGUGUCUGUACCUAUUGCUUUGAUAGGCUUAGUAUGCCUUUUGCUGUUUUCUUCUUGCACUUUGACUCAUCUAGUGAUAAUUUUAACUGAGAUAAAGAAUGUUAUAUAAUAAUUGUCUCUGUGCAGAUUACAAAUUGCACAAGCCCAUGAUAUGUUAAUUAAAUAAAUGUAUUUUUCCUGGCUAAAAAAUGAUCUUAUUGUUAGCUUCUUUUUGUUUCAUUCCUUCACCAUGUACUUCUGAAGGUUGUCAAGCCUGAUUCUUGUAAUGCUUAAAAUUAUGUUCCCUUGAGAAGUGAUUUCUGGUGUUCUGGCUGCUUGUAAAAAAUGUCUCUGGAUUCCAGCUAAAAAAUUUAUUUCACAACACAAUUACACUCACUGCAAAUGCCUCUGGUUCAUGUGCUGCUUUGUUCAGUGAGAAAAGAGCCUCGAAGAUUGGCUCAUUGUAGUCAUGUAUAGGGCUAUCUAUUCUGUUAAUAAAAGAAAAGUUGAACCAUAGAUGCUGCUAUAUCUUUUUCCCCCUACUUCUAAAAGGAAAAGAGAGACAAUCUUUCAGAGUUCAACAUGAGCAUAUUUUCUAAAUACCUCCAGCAUGGGCCCUCAAGGUGGCAGCCGAAAGGGCAAAAUCUUGAAGGUCUCAUGUUCAGAACACUCCCUCCCCCCUUCUCUCUUCCCUGGAUUAUAUGUGGUUUGUUUGUACACUUCCAUGGAACAUAUUUGGAGAUUGAGGGAAGCAAAGUUAUUAAAAAAAUGUCACAACUGUUCUCUGCAGUCGCAGUGGGUGAGAUAUCCCAGACGUUCAUGCCUGGUUGCCUCUUUCAUCUAUUCAAUUCUCUCUUUUUUUUAAAAAAAAAAAUGUUUACAAAUUUUCUUGAGACAGGUUGAAUAUUUUAAUAGAAGAAAGUAUGGUUUUAAUAUUGUAUGGUUCAAUUUUGUCCUUGAUCAUUGAACUUACCAGUAAAUUUUAUUAGUAAUUGAAUUCAAUUUGUAUUGGUAAAAACACUAAACUUUGAUUUUGUUUCAAUGGAAAUCAAUUUGGGUGAAAUUCUAUGAGAAAGUAACAACAUUGACCCUAUGGGAUCAAAAUUGUAGUUUGGUUAUUUUGUUGAUGCAAAUUAAAGUUUAGUAAUUAUGUUAAAUAAUGAUGAGUUCAAUAACCAUUGUUGAAAUUCACCCUUUUCAUAUUUCAGCCAAAGAUUCUCUACUCGGCAUGGAUUGGGUGUGUGUGUGUUUGUGUGUGUAUUCUAGCUUCAAACUCUGUAUCAAUUGUACCUCAUGCUUUUAUUCUCACGAGUAUAAAUGUUGUAGCUUAUCUGUGCCUGCUAGAGGAUUUGGGGUGGUGGCAUCUUGUAAUUUUGGGGUUGCAUGUGUGCUUCAUAAGCAUUAGUGCAUGUGUUUUGGCGGAGCUUUCCAGAUCGAGUUGUUGGCAGAAGAUGCAGAUGACUGGUCUAAGAAGUUAAUUAUUUGCAUUGUGCUCCUAGUUUCUGUUUGUUCUUACUAGAAUUGUAUAUGUAUCUGGAGUUAAAAAGCCCCUGCAGCAGAAAUGGGCCUGGGAGUAGAUGUGUAUGUAGAUGAAUAUUACUUGUUUGCUAUAGUUUUGGUACUCUAUCAGCAAUACUGCACAGAUUCUUGCAAAAUAUUCUUCCUGGGUUGCUGCAUUUUUGGUUGGUAAGAGAAAAUGACUUGCUUUUCUUUCUCACUUUGAAUCUAAUGCUUGGUUUUGUUGUUGUAUAUUUAUCUCUUGUACUUACUGCUAAUGUGGUUUCAUGGGAAUAUAUGCCAAGUUGCACAUGAUGUUGCCUAUUCAUAUUAAUAUGGCCAAGCUGGUUGGUUUGAUUAUUUGUGCAUCUAUUAUUUGCUGAACAACAGUAGUUUUGGCACAUUAUCUAAAAAAUUUUGUUAUUUUCUUUUUUGUAGGCUUCGGAGCUCUCUGUGGCUUCAGUUUAAGCCUCAUCAUAUUGCUGCUGGUGCCGCUUACCUCGCUGCCAGGUUUUUAAAUUUUGAUCUGGCUUGUCACCAGAAUAUUUGGCAGGAGUUUCAAACCACACCGGCCAUUAUCCAAGAUGUAGCACAGCAGUUGAUGGAGCUCUUUUAAUAAGAUGUUACUAGUUUGGUAGGCUUGUCGGCUGAUGGUAGACUCUAGGCCUUGUGGAUACAAAUUGAAAUCAGAAUAUACAUGUUUUGGUAUUGUAGAGAUGAUCAUGGAUAGUGUUUUGCAAUGUGAAAGGCUUGCAAACGAGAGGAUAUUCAGGUAUCUGUGUGUCAAAAUUUGCUGUUGAUUAACAUUAAAUGGAUAUGAUUCGUGAGCUGUAAGAGUGUCGUCCUAGUGGAAUGAGGCUGAAUAUUUUAAUUUC